AAUAAACCAAAUUUUUAUUUUUUACCUUCAAUUUUUGACUAUUCGUCUUAUUAAAAAAACUUUGCGAUAGAUUUUUUUUAUUAGAUGAUAAAUUAUAGAUAGUACUUUAUGUGUGACUAAUUUUUUUCUAAUUUCCUGGAAAUUUUUCAAAUAAGACGGAUGGUCAAAUGCUGGACACGUAAACUGGAGAAAUCAUU
rnacentral:pre_miRNA from 1 species